CCAGGCAGCGGGGAGCCCCAGGGUCCAGGUCCACAGCCUUCCCGGAGCUGAGUUCCACCGGCCCGGCGCGUCUGUGUCUGUCUUUCCCUUCUCCUCUCAACCCUCCCCAAUCUUCCUUGCCCCAGAGUCUGCUGUUUUUGUUUCCUCAAGUGGCGCCUUCUUGCUGGGUAAAGCACACUUUUUCCUCCUCCGAGUACUUCCAUAGCUUGCACUUGGGCUGCUGAGUGACCCUGGGACUGUUUUUCUGAAGACGGGUUCGGAAUUCAGCACCAGAGGACUCAGGCAAGAGAGUGAAGGUGUCCCUCUUCUUCCCCGCCUCACCCCUGAUGGGAUGGAG
rnacentral:lncRNA from 1 species